UCAAAAACUGACCAAAUCAGAAGAGAAUCCAUUGAUGGCCUAUAAAUAUAGGAAUGAUUUUCUUCUCCUUUACUCCUUAAGCCUCCACCAAACAAUUGCCUCCAAAUGUCAUCCCAUAGAACUUGCCACCACCAUAGGCGCCACCCUCAUCGCCACCAUCAUCACUAUCUUCGACGACACCUUCGUCACCAUUCUCCACAUCAACGAAGGCCCCAUUUUUACUCUUCAGUAACUAUCCAAGUCCAGAUGACCAAUCCACAUCACCACCUCACUAUCAUCCUCAUCAUCAAGCAAUCUUCCUCAAACAUAAGAGUAUUAUCUGGAGGAAAGACAUGCUCCUCCGCCUACUCAAAAUUCACCACCAGUUCGUCAGCCCAGUCAUUCAAAAGAUCAACAUUCCGCAACCAACACUCCUGAUCAGCAUUCAGCAAUCCAUCAACAGCCAGCACCAUCCAUUCCUCUUAUUCUUCUUGGAUUUGAAGAUGUGUACAGAGGUAGGCCAGAAGAAGCACACCACCAAAGCAAGCUAACACUCCAGCAUCCAGCACCAAUUCAUCAUCCAGUCCAAAGACUCCAACCUCCAAAAGACAGCACAUAUGGAUAGACACUACCUACUCUCCCCCAUCAAGUGACAUCUGUAGACAGAUGAUCAAAAAGCAAAAGGAAGAUUCCAACAUGAAGACAAACUCUGUUACUUUUUCUCAAAAGUAACUUCUCCACCAAGUAAACUACCUCACCAAGAAGAUGCUUCACCAAAAAUCACUAGACGACUCACCUCCAAAGUUAGUUACUUUACUUUACCAGCAAGUAGGCAAGCCAACAAAAGCUGAUUACUUAGCCAGAAAGUUACUUCGGCAUCAAGUUGAUUAGCCACCAAGUUACUUCGCCCACAAGCAAGAUGACUUCACC
rnacentral:lncRNA from 1 species